rnacentral:lncRNA from 1 species
CAAGCUUUCAAAACAUGAUUUGGCACUUUAUAUUUAAAUGAUAACAGAGUUCUGGAGACUGGAAGUCCAAGGUCAAGUUGUCAGAAGAUCAGGGGUCUAGAGAGGAUUCUUUCUGGUUUUCAGAUAUUUGCCUUCUUGAUAUGUCCUCACAUGGAAGAGAGAGCUGCCUACUUGAGCCUCAGAAAAAGGGGAGUCUCUUCAAAUCAGUGCAGCCACAAAAGCUGUGCUAAAGGAAGUGCAUUGUCUGGGCAUGUAUUGUGUGCUGUGGCCUUUGGGGAAAGUAUACAAAGAGAACAAAUGAUUCAUCAACAGAUUUCUGGCAGUUUGGUCUUCCUCAGACAGCCUGAAAAGAAAAUAUUGCAAACCAAAAAUGAAAAUGAGAGGGAGAGCAUGUACAAGAACCUGUAUGCAGGCAUGUGAUAGGACAUGAGGAAAUGGAUUUCAAAGAGAGAAACUGGACUGUGACUAACAGCUAAUGUAAAUUCAAAGGGCUAAAUCUGAAUUCACUCCCUGUUAGUGAAAUAUGGUUCAAGAAACGUCAAGUAGGAAAAGAGCAG